UGCAACUCUGCCUAGAAGGCCAGCAUCCCGGAGUCGCUUCUUCACUGUUGACAUUGAGACUGGUGUUUUGCAGAGUACCAAUCCAUUUAUAUAUGGCGAAUAACGGUUUUUGCACAUUUUUAACAGAGCUCACCUUGUUAUCUCAUCACCCAACACUCUUUUCACGUUACCUUUUCUUUCUUUUCUCUCUAUCUCUCUCUUUCGGAGUGUGUCGAGAACAGUAAGAAUAUGGCGGGACGGGAUCGGUCCGAUGCAGAUGGAGUCUGUGCUGAGAUGAAGUCCUUGACUCAUGGAUGAAGGACUUUUACUUGAAAAACCAAACCUGAAGACAGAAACCAAAGGAAUACAUCUCAGCUGGCCCUGACCCCAUCCUCUAUGAUGCAACUGUCCCACUAAAACCUGGGCAACGUGGCCAAAGGCUCCUUCAUCAUCCCCCUGGUGGAGAUCCCUGGCCUCAUCCUCACCUACAUCCACAACCAGCUCAAAGGAAAAGGACGUCACCUACAUCCACAAACAGUUCAAAAGCUGAGUACGUCUUUAAUCAUCAACUCGAUUCAGCAGCUGGACAUUUUGUUUUGAGUGGAUGGUUGAGGGACAGAACAUAAUUACAUCAUUUCUAGAUUGUACAUUUUUAGAAUGGGUGGCCGGUAAUGGUCUGGUCCUGAUCAUCUCUAAAACUAAGAGCAUGAUAUUGGGUUCAAAUCAUUCCCUAAAUUCAAGACUUCAGUUGAAUCUGGUAAUGAAUGGUGUGGCUGUUGAGCAAAUUGAGGAGAUGAAAUGACUUGAUGUUAGCUCAUGGUAAAAACAUAUCGAUUCAAUGGUUGUAAAGAUAGGGAGAGGUUUGUUUGUAAUAAAGAGAUGCUCUGCGUUUAAGACACCACACUCCACAAAGCAAGUCCUGCAGGCUCUAGUUUUAUCUUAUCUUGAUUAUUGUCUAGUCAUAUGGUCAAGUGCUGCAAGGACGGAUCUAGUUUAGCUGUAGCUGCUCUUCAUUGUAAUCAGAGGGCUAGUAUUAAUACGAGGCAU